GGCUCCAGUCGUCUCCAGGGACUCUGGGCUCUGGCCUUUCUGCCUCAUCUGCCUCUAUACCACUACUGUUCAUCAGAGAAACUAUAGCCUUCCUGCCUCAUCAGCCUCUACAUCACUACUGUUUUAUGUGAGGGUCUCUUCUCCUGACUCAUGCUGGAGCAAGUGCAGGUUGAUGUCUCUGUCUGCCUGCUAGUGCUCAGUAGACCAGCUUCAAAUGGAUGGAAGAACACUGGCUUCCUGCUGACAGAAAUUCAAUAGCAGCUCAAUUCAACCUACCUCCACUCCGAGCCUUCAGUCUUACGACAUGGUCCUUUGCUGCACCCUGCGCUCGCCCUCCCCCCUUUUCCUGCUUCUCCCCUCAUGAAUGUUUGACGGUGGGACCAGCUGCUCUCUGAUGGUGAGGGUGGCACGUGCUCUUGUUCCAGUGUCAGGACACAGGACAGCCAUUGUUACCCACGCAGGUGUGAGGAGGGCCUGAAGAGGUGCAGACAGAACUGGGGCAGAGAGAACCUGAGCAGGCCGUGUCUCCUUCCCUCGCAGAGUAGACCGCCCCUCCGGGUCAGGACCUCUGGGCUUGCACUCGGACUCUUACGUCAAUCCGCCUUCGGCUCGGAAGACAAACCCUGUCACAGCUGCUGCUAAACAGCCCUGAGCGGCCCACCUCAUACACUCAAACACACACACACAGAGAGUAAACAACUUUCACAAGACCAUCAGGAAACGCCACCAGGCAACUCUCCAAGGGAACUCGUCACGGUGAAAGGCUCCUGGUGUCAGGGUUCUCUGGCCUACCACCCCUAUUGUCAUGGUCUGGCGUUUGUGAUGGACUCGCUGUUGCUCCUGCUUGCUUGAUGGAGACCUCAGCUGACCUCAGAGACGUUCUCAAACACCCUCACGUCUCUGAGAAACCUGUUCUUCUUCCUCCCCCUGGGGAUUGUCCAACUGCCAGUCAUCUGGCUCUCCUCCAGUCCCUGGCCUGCCUACCCAGUACCUGGCCUGCCUACCCAGUCCCUGGCCUGCCUACCCAGUCCCUGGCCUGCCUACCCAGUACCUGGCCUGCCUACCCAGUCCCUGGCCUGCCUACCCAGUACCUGGCCUGCCUACCCAGUCCCUGGCCUGCCUACCCAGUACCUGGCCUGCCUACCCAGUCCCUGGCCUGCCUACCCAGUACCUGGCCUGCCUACCCAGUACCUGGCCUGCCUACCCAGUACCUAUUGGAGAGGUACAGAAUGGUUUGGCUAGAUCAAGCAAGUCAAUUACAAUUUGAAAUACAAAUUACAAUUAUGUUUAAUGUAUGCACCUCCCUGCCAAAGUAAAUUCCUUGUUUGUGCAAACAUUCAUGGCGAAUAAAAUCCCUUCUGAUGCUGAUUCUGAUUUGUUGCAAAAGGGCAGUUAACAAACUCAAUUCACAAAUAUACAUUUGCCUCACAGAAGUGUCCAAUAAGUACAAAAUAAUGGUGAAAAUCUCCUUUUUUGGUUAAGGUCGUAUUUUAACAAACAUUGUAAACAGUAUUGCAUGACAGAAGAAAGCAUAAAAUACCCCUUGGUUGGGAAAUAUUCAAAUAUUAGUCCUUUUAGCAAAUACUUGAUUUAUCUUAUUCGUAUGUGGUGUAAUCAUACCAAAUAGACAAUUCCUUAAGUAAAUAUACAUUGACCUAGUUAUGUGACUUAUGAGACUUGGGAAGGGGGGGGGGGGGGGGGGGGGGGGAGGAAGAGUAAAGAGUGCCCGGCAGACCUAGCAUUGUCCUUCGUGCAGUUGCGUAUCGCAGGCAUGCUUAAAGCCCCUUUCCCCCUACUACUCACGUCAGUGUCAAUGCGACAGAACUUACAGAAGGUAUGAUAUUGAUCUUGGCUGCUCUUAUGGCAAAGUGGAGUUGCUUUUUUAAUUUUUUUAGGAGAUUUAAGAAAAUUAAGUAUCCAGCCCAGGGGUUAGCUAGGGUAGGAUGUAGCAUGUGCGUGUGUGUGUGCAUCAGUAUGCACCUUUAUCUGAUUGUAAUUAUUUAUUUAAUCCCUAAGGGUGAAGUGUGUAUUUUUUGGAGUGGGUGAAAUAUGUGUUUUGCUGUUCUACAAAAAGCUGAUUUAUGCCAAAACGGUUCAAUUUAAGGUAGCAUAAGUAUGGUGUGUUGUGUGUGAUAUCGCCACCUGCAGGUAAACCACUGACGGGCAUGCUUCCACAGCUUGGUGUACGUUCGUUGCUAAGCGACAUAGACGCACGAACAUACGCGAAAGCUCGUCUCGUGGGUCUUUUGAUCAAACUUGAGGACCCUGCUCAGACCGAGCAAGGCAAGGAUGUGGCGGUAGGCUAGCCUACAACAGGUGUAGGAAACCCGGAGGGCAGACAAAAAAAGAGAAAAACUGGUGAUGAAAGUGAAACCGAAAAUAAAGAGACUAAAAUAAUUGUGUUGUUUAUAAAUAUUUAACUGGAACAAAAAAUAAAUUCAGUUUAGUUCAUAUGUUUUCAAUAAAUCUUUACACCCCGUUAUAUGCAAUGAGCUACUCUUUUUGUCUUUGUCUUAAUCGUUUGCAUAUUUCCAUACAAAAGGAGCUUUACACACUUAUAAGAGCUGAAGAUUUGGCGACACAUACUUUUUAUGUUGUCUUGAUUUGGGUGUUAACAAUGGUCAUUUCCAUUUGAAAGGAUUGUAAAUCUAGUUCUUCAAAAAAAUUGUAGCAAACCAUAGUCAACUUUAAUCAAAUAAAACUUAAUUUCCCAACAACAAAAUUGUGGCUAGUGAAAUUGCUGGGUGGCUAGUAACUUUGGAAAACCACUAGCCACAGUGGCUGCAAAACAUUUAAUGUCAGGCCCUGAUUACAGGUUACAUAUUUUAGAUAAAUCUUAUUCUAAUUAUUCAUGUCUAAAAAAAUCUAUUUUGCAUUGCACAUUGAAUCUUUUUUGGUACUGAAGCUGU